CCUACGGGCGGCUGCAGUGGGGAAUUUUGGGCAAUGGGGGAGACCCUGACCCAGCGACGCCGCGUGCGGGACGAAGGCCUUCGGGUCGUAAACCGCUUUUGUACGGGAAGAUAGUGACGGUACCGUGCGAAUAAGUCCCGGCUAACUACGUGCCAGCAGCCGCGGUAACACGUAGGGGACGAGCGUUGUCCGGAAUUACUGGGCGUAAAGGGCGCGCAGGCUGUGCGGCGAGUCGGCUGUAGAAAGGCGGGGCUCAACCCCGUUCCGCGGUCGAGACCGUCGUGCUGGAGUACUGCAGAGGCAAGCGGAAUUCCCGGUGUAGCGGUGAAAUGCGUAGAUAUCGGGAGGAACAUCGGUGGCGAAGGCGGCUUGCUGGGCAGUAACUGACGCUGAGGCGCGAAAGCCGGGGGAGCGAACGGGCUUAGAUACCCGGGUAGUC
rnacentral:rRNA from 1 species